GAAUAUUGCGCAAUGGGCGAAAGCCUGACGCAGCGACGCCGCGUGGGGGAUGAAGGUCUUCGGAUUGUAAACCCCUUUCGGGAGGGAAGAUGGGAUGGGGUAACCCAUUCGGACGGUACCUCCAGACGCAGCCACGGCUAACUUCGUGCCAGCAGCCGCGGUAAUACGAAGGUGGCAAGCGUUGUUCGGAUUUACUGGGCGUACAGGGAGCGUAGGCGGUUGGGUAAGCCCUCCGUGAAAUCUCCAGGCUUAACCUGGAAAGUGCAGAGGGGACUGCUCAGCUAGAGGAUGGGAGAGGAGCGCGGAAUUCCCGGUGUAGCGGUGAAAUGCGUAGAGAUCGGGAGGAAGGCCGGUGGCGAAGGCGGCCUUCUGGACGGUGACUGACGCUGAGACGCGAAAGCGUGGGGAGCAAACAGG
rnacentral:rRNA from 1 species